rnacentral:tRNA from 1 species
GUUAAGGUGGCAGAGCCCGGUAAUUGCGUAAAACUUAAACCCUUAUACUCAGAGAUUCAAAUCCUCUCCUUAACA